rnacentral:rRNA from 1 species
GAUGAACGCUGGCGGCGUGCCUAAUACAUGCAAGUCGAACGAAACUUCUUUAUCACCGAGUGCUUGCACUCACCGAUAAAGAGUUGAGUGGCGAACGGGUGAGUAACACGUGGGCAACCUGCCCAAAAGAGGGGGAUAACACUUGGAAACAGGUGCUAAUACCGCAUAACCAUAGUUACCGCAUGGUAACUAUGUAAAAGGUGGCUAUACUACCGCUUUUGGAUGGGCCCGCGGCGCAUUAGCUAGUUGGUAGGGUAAAGGCUUACCAAGGCAAUGAUGCGUAGCCGAAUUGAGAGGUUGAUCUGCCACAUUGGGACUGAGACACGGCCCAAACUCCUACGGGAGGCAGCAGUAGGGAAUCUUCCACAAUGGGCGAAAGCCUGAUGGAGCAACGCCGCGUGGGUGAAGAAGGUCUUCGGAUCGUAAAACCCUGUUGUUAGAGAAGAAAGUGCGUGAGAGUAACUGUUCACGUUUCGACGGUAUCUAACCAGAAAGCCACGGCUAACUACGUG